CAUACUGUUACCGCUGUUGACUGGUGACGAGUUCUUGCUUCCCCAAUGUUGAAGAAUAACACCAAAGAAGCACGCCGAGGCAAGGUCAGAGUAGAAAUUAGAAGUUUAUUAAAGGACAGCAGAAAAGACUUCUCCCGGAGGAAGAAGGGGACCCAAGAGGUGGAAUCCGUGGAAGUGCGGUUGUUUCCCCUUUUUAUAGUUUUGGUGAUGGAAUGUAGGUUGGAAGGCCCGAGGGGUGGGACACAGGUGGGCCAAAGAAGUAAUCUGGUCAGGAAGGACUUCUCAGUCAGCACCUUUUUGCUGGGGGCUGUUCAUUAACAUUUCUUUGAGGUGGACUUUGGCCUAGGGCCUUUUAGGACUUCAUUAACAUUCCUUGAGUUGUCCUGCGUUUCCCGGAAUCAUUGCCAGCAUGGCCUCCAUUUUAGAUUUCACUCGGUAUUAGACCCGAUUUACCUAACUACACUGACUACCUAACUUUAAAUCUGGCUUCAAUACCAUAUUUUCUAUAUAUUUUAGUCUAUCUUUUAGGAAGUAGAUAUCACAAGGACUAGACUAAAAGACAAAUUCAAAGAAGGUUUAACCUGGCUAGAUGAUAGUAAUUCAAUUUUAAAGGAAAUUAUAUGCAUACAUAUGUGUGCAUGAACACACGCUUAUUUAUGUAUAUGAUUAUCUAGUUUGUUUAUGCAAUACAUAUGUGAAGGUAUGUAUUAUGUAAAGUUAAUAUAUGUUGGUAUAAUAAAAACAUAAAUAUGUAGUAAAACCAUAUAAAUAUGCCUAUUUUCCUUCAUUAUUCAUUAUGUAAUAUUCUACUACAUAUUUUUCAUUUGAGUUUUAGAGAGGGUGUAUGGGUUUGAUUGAUUUACAAUGUUACUUUUACAAUCAUGUUUUCCCUUCAGUCAUAUAAAGAAGCUCAAAUUUGAAGUAUUUGUAUCUUUGCACAUAAUUGUGAGGGUGUGUUAUUUUAUAAAUAACAGGAAACAACUGUGCAAUAUGUCUAUCAUACUCUAUAUUUAAGGAAUACUGCAAUAUGCAAAAUAAUUGCAUUAACAAUUUGUUAAAACCAUUACAGUACUAGAGUUUUUAUUUAAAAUUUGUUUCACCCAAUCUCUGAAAGUUUACUUUGAAAUAUAGGAAAUAGUUUAAAACAGAUCCAAGUGUUCAGAUUUGAAAUUCAGUGACAAAUUAUUUGUUACACAAUAACUGAUUCAUUUGGAAAUUCAUGAAUGGGUCAUGUGUUUUAAGAAAAUUCUAGUAGUUCCCACAGAGGAAGUGGAUCAGGAAAUGGCAAGCAUCCACACUUUCAUUUACUGAUUUUCUCAAUUUGGGUGUAAUUUCACAUUAAACCUCCAAAUUCUACAUGUUAACUCAAAAUAAUUUUUACAAGUUUACAAGAUGCCUUCAUAGUUUUAAUAAAUUAUUUCUGAAUUAGUAUAGGCAAAUUUUGGUUUUUUUUUUUUAAAAAUCAGAUUGAGAGAGAGAGAGAUUUUACUUCGAGAGUAGAGGUCACAUAUAUUUUCAUUACCAAGAAGGAUACUAUGAAAGAGCUAGCAUAUUAUACAAUCUUUGCUUUGAACAAAAUUGCUCUGGCAGAAUGCAUCAGUGAACACUCCAGACCAGGAUCCCUGUCUAUAGUCCACAUUCUUGUGGGAGAUUGCAUACAGUAAAUAGAAACUCUAAUUUAUUGUAUUUUAGAAGUUGCACAAUGAUAUGGAAGAUAAAAAGGUAGCAUACAUCCCAUUAAGAGAAAUUGACAAUGCUGAAGUAGAGGAUGCAGUUUCAGCUUGGUUGCAAUCCGAAACAAGUUGGUUGGGGGUAGUGAGGUUGGAGCAAACACUAGAAGAAAGUGGAGAAGUGAAGUCCAGGCUGUCAGCGGAGCAUUCUAGGCAGAGGCAAGCACCAAGGCAAAGCUCCAGAGGUGCAAACUUCCAUAAUAUGUUCCAGAAGCAGGAGACUGGCAGCUUGGCUAGGGCUGACCCAGGUAAGGAGACAGGGACUAGAUGAAGUGAACAAAUGAAGUUGAUCAUUCUGUGAUUUUGGAGCCAUUACAAAAAAGUUAAAUAGUGGCCUCCAAAAGAUGCCCAUAUAAAUCUGUAAGUAUGGACUUUUCUAGAUGUAAUUAAGGAUUUUGAGAGAUCAUAUUGGAUUUAGUGUGGGCUCUAAAUCCAGUGAUCAGUGAAGAAGACACAAUUCCACCAUAUGAUAGUUUUGAGAUCUCAACCAAUUUAAUUAACUUUUGUAAACACAGUUGUCAUUAUUCAUACAUAAAUGAAUUCCACAAAUCUUAUGAUAUAUGGAGAAAGUAAAUAAAAAUAAUUUGAAACAUCAGAAAGUCAUAAUGAUAUUAUUUUUCUUAACUCUGAUUAAUAGCCAUGAUAGGGCAUUUGGCCCCUGAAAGAGAAAUAAAGUGGUAGUCAAUCAGUUGCCUGGCAGGAAAGGAAUUAAGAAUAAAUGCUCUUGACACAUUUUUCCUUUGCCCUCUGAUCUCCCGCCUGUUAUUCUACUAGCCAAAUCCUCUGAUAGCCAGUGAUCAAGGAGCUCAGUGACAGAGUCCAUGAAGAUCACCUUCUAGAGACACUGAACAGAGAGAUGAGAGUGGAUCAGUAAGGGCAAAAGACAGCAUCCAGCCCAUAAUAAAAGUAGUCAAAGUAUGUAUUCUCUCUUUUUUCAUUAAUUUUUUUCAUUGAAUUAGCAAUCUUCUACAAAAUCAACCACAGUUCAUUAGACUAUUAAUGAUAAUCUUACUUACUACUUGAAACUUGGAAACUCCUAGCCUAAGACACUUUUGGGAAAUCUAAGAGGUCAACGCUAUCUUCAUAAUGACAGUAAGACUAUAUUUAUCUUUUGGUUGGGUUUGCAUUUGCACUGAAAAUGCAGAAGCAUUGGUGUCAUUACCUGCCUAUGAAUCACGCCAGAGGCAUCAAACUCUGGCCAUGAUAUUUUUCACCUUUAUGAGUUUUCUGUGUUUGUGGCAGUGGGGGAUAUCUCCUAAGAAUGAUGCAAUAAAAGUCAUUAAUUUCAUGAAAUCUUAAUUACUGCCCAGAAGCUUUGGAGGCUGAGAUAGUAAGAUCAUGAGUUCAAAGACAAUCUCAGUAAAAGCAAGGCACUAAGCAACUCAGAGAGACUCUGUCUCUAAAUAAAAUACAAAAAGUAGGGCUGGGGAUAUGGCUUAGUAGUUGAGUGCCCCUGAGUUCAAUCCCUGAUACCUAGGAAAAAAAACUCAGUUACUGAUUACAAUCAAUUUUAAUGAUGAAUGGGAAGUAUGCAUAAAACAUUCCCACUGUGUAUCAAGAUGAAUUGAUACUUCAGAAGAAAAGCCCUUGUGUGAAUGAGAUGCAUCCUGAACCAACCAAGCCAUUCCCUUCAAGGAAAACAACCGACAGCAUUUUUUGACAAUGAUAAAAUUCAAACUUUCUAGCAAAACCUCAAAUUUUGAAAGCAUUUAUCUCCACCAGGAUACUAAUAGUCUCCUAGCAUUUAAAGUCUUUUUAAAAGAGAUUUUUGGUGGUGUUACCAUGUGAUUAUUUGAUAUUACAUAAUGAAAUCUGUCAACCUUUACAAGUUCUACAUAACUCCAAAAACUGACGUUUUCAAAAUUACCAUUGACUGAUAUAACAAAAUAAUAUAUGUUCAAAAAAAAUUCUAAUUAGAAAGAGAGAUUAAACAAUGGAUUUAAAUGAAACUGAUUACAACAGGCUUAAUGACAUGAUUUAUUUUAAAAUACUGAAAACAAUUUUUAAUAAAUUAUCAUUUGUCAAUUUCUCUAUAAUAUCAAAGAAUACCAACGAUUAUCUGAAAGCUACGUAUUUUUCCAACUACAUAACAAUGUGAGGCAAGACUUUCCUUCUGAAGUUCAUUCAGAACAGAAUAUUGCAACAGAUGUUUCAUAUAUUAAGCAAAUAUUAAGAGGUAUUUGAAUUAGCAAUAUAAAAAAUUAGCAAACCAAAAAAAAGGCACACUUCUCAAUGAAUAGUUUGAAAUUUAUGUUUGUAUAAUAGGUUUUCAUAAAAAUACAAUUUUAUUGGUAAAAGUUUUCAUAAUAAUACCUGUUUUCUACAAGUAUUUUACUUAUAUUAACAUGUAUUGGUUAUUGUUAUUUGGAGAUUAUUAAUGAAUAAAAUUAUUUUCAGUUUUAAUUUCAAAUAUAGUAUCAAAAACAACAUUUCUCCAGAGCCCUCAAUAACAUUAAAGAAUAUGGAAGGGACCUGAGACCAUGAUGUCUAGACUAGCUAACAAAUGUUCAGAGAUUAUAUAUAAAAUUAUGUUAAAACUUCUAUUGCUGUUUGCCUAAGUAUAUUUAUAAUUUUAUAUUUGCAUAUUUUACACAGAAUACAUUUUGUACAUAAUUAUAAGAAAAAUACAAUUUCAACAUAAGGACAUAUGGCCUUUGGAUAAACUGCAUGAAGUCAAAGCACAAUAAUCAUUACUUUGUUUCAUAAAAGACUAGAUGAUUAUUUGUGUGUUUUAAAUAGUUUAGCACAUGAAAUUUGGUAUUUAUUCAAAUAGCCCACUAGAAAGUUUAUGAGAUUAUAAUUAAGAAGUUAAUUAUAUUUGUAAGAAUUUUUUUUCAAAUGGUCACACUUGACAAAUAAACAUUUACUGUUUAUAAUUUAUGAGUAUUUUAGGAGCCAACACUGAAUAAUUUUUCCCAAAUAUUCUGAAGAACAAUUACUAUUAAUUUUAAUUUUUUUGUGUGUAUGUAUAUUAUGGAAUGGUAUUUUAUGUAUUCAUGAUUUUAGAAAAUAAUAGUACAUUUAUCAAAAAUCAUAUUUAUUACACAAAUAUUCUGAGAAUGAAUAUCCUUAAGUUGGUCAUAGAUAUAUCAUAAUUCAGCCUUUUUAUUAUGCUUAAACUAUGGUAGCUAUUACUAAUUUACUGAGGAGAAAAAAAUAAUGUUAUAUCUUAUAUAAUUUAGUAGGAGCUCAAGUGACUAUGGCUUUCUUCAUUCAGUUCUCUUCUACCCUUAUACAUGCAGAGAACCCACAGAAUCAAGUGCCAUGGAAAAGCAAAGACUGUGCUCCUAGAGAAGUUAGGGAGAAAAGGUUGAUUUGUAUUUCAUGUCAGUAUUUUAACAUUUUUGUUUGAUUUGUGUUACCAUGUAAACCUUCAUGUCAUCAGAUAUUUCAAAAUGCUGAAACAAGAUUUUUCAGUAAUUUUUUUGUUUUUAAGAAUUAAAGAUAUCUCUAAAAAUUGCUUAAAAUAUCACUGCAUGAAAACUGUGAUUAUAUCUUAACACUGUAAUCUCCAUCACAAAUCUCUAUUAGCCUGUCAUUUGCUAGGAUAUAUAUAUAAAUAAUUAAUUUCUAAAAAAUAUUCUCUUUCCAUGUUUAAAACAUUUUAUAAUCCAAAAAUAAUUUCUGUAAAUUACAGAAGACAAGAAAUAAUUAGGACACAAGAACUCACAAAGUUUCUUUAGCAAAGUUUUAUACAUGCCAAGUAUUAACCCUACCCAGUGGUAGGAAGAGCCUCUAUGUAAAAACAAAGAUCAAGGAGUGAUCCCCAUAGUCUCUGGCUUUAACCAUUAUACAUUUGAUGUAUUUUGUGAGUAUUGGGGAUUGAAUCCAGGGCCUCACACAUGCUGAACAACUGCAAAACCACAAAGUUAACAUGCCCAGCCCACAAGAUUUCACUUUUUUGAUAAUGGUACUGUGGAUCGAACCCAGGGCUUCAUACAUGCUAGUAAGCACUCUGCCACUAAGUUAUAUCCCCAGCCAUUAACCAUUAUACAUUUGUUAAAGGGGACAGUUAUUACAAGAUUUCUUAUAAGUUUAUGAGAUGUUUUCAAUUUUGUGUGAUUGCUGUCAGUGCCUUGAUUUAAAUAUGUAUACAUAUAUAUGUAUAAAAUAUAUAUACACAUAAACAUAUAUUUACAUAUUGUGCAUAUUACAUCUAUACUUUAAAUAUACUAUAGAUAUAUACUAUCAAUAUAUUGUAGGUAGAUGUUUAUAUCCUCAUCCUUGACAUUUUUUCCUCUUAAAACAUAAUCUAUUAAAACUUCCUCAAAUCUCAGUUUUAGGAUUCUGCUAAUUAACAAAAUGCUUUACCUGAAUAUGAACAUAGGAAGUUAGUAAUUUUUGAAUAUAAGUGACAGAAUUUCUUUCUUAUCGACUUUUGUUAAAGCCAUCAUUUUUAUUGAAGUUGUUAUUAUUUUACUGAGAAGAAAUCCUACUAAUCUGGAUAAUAAAAUUGAGAGAAAACAUUUUUAAUGAAAAAAUUCAUGUCAUAAGUUAUGAAUUUCUAAGAUUCAAGUAGCAUAAACUCUAACUCCAAAUUUUUUUUAAAGGAGAAUUGUUAUUAUGCAUAAAUUUUGGCAUAAUUCUAGGCCAAAAAUUCUAUGAUUUUAAGAAAGUAAAGAAAGAGAAUAGCACUAAACUUAUCUUCCCAUCUGUACUUCAAUUUAUUUAUUUUUUUUCACAUUUGACAAAGUGUUUAUUAUAAAUGUUUCAUUUUUAUAUAAGGCAUACAUUUUGGACAAAAUCUGUUCAAUGUUCACUACUGGUAUGAGUUUUCAGAUGUUCAAUGAAUUUAAAUUUGAAUAAGUUUUCAAAAUAUUAUUUAACUGUUUAGGGUUUCUGGAUACAAUGAAUUCUCCAAAAAUCAGUAGUGUUUAAGAAACAUGUGGUUAAGAAAUGUUUUUUUUUUCCAUCUGUAUUCUCUCUAACCAGUAUGUAUCCACAGGUGCUGAGUAUUGGUGAAUAAAUUUUGGAGGCAUUGUCACAUUGUCAAUUUUCACAUUUCAAAACUUUGUCUCUUCUAUGGUUAUUGUGGUGAGGAUUCAAUAUUGACUCUUUCUUAGAGGAAUGGUACAAUGGUCUCAUUUGUAAAGCUUCUCUCCAGUGUGUUUUCUCUGAUGUCUAGUAAUGUAUGAUAUAUAAUUUAAAAUGUUUCUACAUUCUUUACAUUUAUGUCUUCUUUCCAGAAUAAAUAUCUUAGUGGUGAAAAAGAAUUGAUUUCUUAUUAAAAGCUUUGCUACAUUGUUUUCAUUUUAGGGGUUCUUUUCUGUAUAAAUUCUGUUGUUAAUGAGGUUUAGUUUUUCUUUAAAAGUAUUAUCACUUUAUCUACCAUUUCACAUUCACCAGGGUGUCUUCUGCUGUGGUGAAUAAAGUUUUAUUUCUUAUUAAAAGUUUUUCCCCUUAUUCACAUUUGUAGGGCUAUUCUCCAGUGGGAGUUCUUCUGUGGUGAAUAAGGCCUGUUUAAUGGCUAAAAGCUUUGCCACAUUCCUUACAUUUGUAGGGCUUUUCUCCAAUGUGAAUUCUGUUGUGGUAAUAAGGGUUGAUAUUUGAGUAAAAACUUCGUCACAUACUUUGCAUCUGUGAGGCUUCUCUCCAGUGUGAGUUCUCCUGUGGCAAACAAGGUGUGAUUUUUCAACUGAAAGCUUUGCCAUAUUCUUUACAAUUGUAGGGCUUCUCUGCAGUGUGAAUUCUGCUGUGGAAAAUAACAUCUAUUUUUUGACUGAAAGCUUUGCCACCAUCUUUACAUUUGUAGGGCUUCUCUCCAGUGUGAGUUCUUCUUUGGCAAAUAAGGUAUGAGUUUUGACUGUAUGUUUUGUCACAUUCUUUACAUUUCUAGGACUUCUCGCCAGUGUGCAGUCUGCUGUGCCUAAUAAGGUAUAGUUUUCGACUAAAAGCUUUGCCACAUUCUUUACAUUUGUAGGGCUUCUCUCCAGUGUGAGUUCUGCUAUGGCGAAUAAGGUGUGAUUUUUGAUAGAAAUCUUUGCCACAUUCUUUACAAUUGUAGGGCUUCUCUCCAGUGUGCAUUCUGCUGUGGCACAUAAGGCAUGAUUUUUGACUAAAAGCUUUGCCACAUUCUUUACAUUUGUAGGGCUUCUCUCCAGUGUGCAUUCUGCUGUGCCUAAAAAGGUCUAGUUUUUGACUAAAAGCUUUGCCACAUUCAUUACAUUUGUAGGGCUUCUCUCCAGUGUGUGUUGUGCUGUGGUGAUUAAGGUUUGAUUUUUGACUAAAAGCUUUGCCACAUUCUUUACAUUUGUAGGGCUUCUCUCCAGUGUGAGUUAUGCUGUGGCGAGUAAGGUUUGAUUUUCGACUGAAAGCUUUGCCACAUUCUUUACAUUUGUAGGGCUUCUCUCCAGUAUGAGUUAUGCUGUGGCGAGUAAGGCCUUCUUUUUGACUGAAAGCUUUUCCACAUUCUUUACAUUUGUAGGGCUUCUCUCCAGUGUGAGUUCUGCUGUGGUAAGUAAGGCCUUCUUUUUGACUGAAAGCUUUUCCACAUUCUUCACAUUUGUAGGGCUUCUCUCCCGUGUGAGUUCUGCUGUGGUAAGUAAGGCCUUCUUUUUGUCUGAAAGCUUUUCCACAUUCUUUACAUUUGUAGGGCUUCUCUCCCGUGUGAGUUCUGCUGUGGUAAGUAAGGCCCUCUUUUUGUCUGAAAGCUUUUCCACAUUCUUUACAUUUGUAGGGCUUCUCUCCCGUGUGAGUUCUGCUGUGGUAAGUAAGGCCUUCUUUUCGACUGUAAGCUUUUCCACAUUCUUUACAUUUGUAGGGCUUCUCUCCCGUGUGAGUUCUGCUGUGGUAAGUAAGGCCUUCUUUUCGACUGAAAGCUUUUCCACAUUCUUUACAUUUGUAGGGCUUCUCUCCCGUGUGAGUUCUGCUGUGGUAAGUAAGGCCUUCUUUUCGACUGAAAGCUUUUCCACAUUCUUUACAUUUGUAGGGCUUCUCUCCCGUGUGAGUUCUGCUGUGGUAAGUAAGGCCUUCUUUUCGACUGAAAGCUUUUCCACAUUCUUCACAUUUGUAGGGCUUCUCUCCAGUAUAAAUUCUCUGGUGGUAAACAAGGUCUGAAUUUUUAUAUGACUUCUGUUGUUCACUCUCACUUGUAGUUUUCCAUAUUUUCUUUUGUUGUAAAUAGUCAAUAUUACAACUUGUAUAUUUUCCACUUAUCACUUUGUGAAAUAUAUGUUUUAUGCCCUUUUCUGGUGAAUAUUCUUCGGUAUCUUGAGGAGUCAGGGCAAGGAAGGCAAAGUUUCUAUAGUUCUCUAACAUCACAUCUUUAUAUAAGUUUUUCUGAGCGGGCUGAAGGCAUUCCCACUCCUCUUGAGUAAAAUCAAUGGCUAUAUCCCUGAAUGUUAACAGUACCAUUUCCUGGCUUUCAGAGUUCUCAGCAUUCUCCCUGUGGUUUGUUUUCAGAUUCUGCAUUGCACAGAAACCUGGGCUCCAGAUCCAGGACAGAAAGCCUACAAAAAGUUUGAAAAAAUGGUGGGCUUCAGACACAAAAGGAACAGCCAAUUUAUCUUUAAUUCUAAUAGUUAUUCAGAGAAAACUCUUCUAAAUAAAAUAAUGACUUAAAUUACUUCUUCAUAUCGAAUUAAAUUUAAACCACUUGAUUUCAAGCCUUAAAAUCUAAGUCAUAAUUAUGACAAAGUCAGUUCUCCUGAAGUUAUAUUAAUAAUAUUAACACAUUGUAAAAGAAUGGUAUUAAAUUUUCUUUAUAAAUCAAAGUAGACAGUAAAUACUACCCUUAAUGUGGAGAAACAGACAUGCAAAAAUAAUCAGGAAAUUUCUUUUUUUUAUCUAGCAGUGAUAAGCAAUAACCCCAUCAAACAUUAAAUUUUGUAAGCUCUCUAAAAUUAAAACAAUAUAAUGCUGCCCACAAAUAGACCAAAAAAUAUGGAAUGAAAGAAAUUACAGAAAUAGACUUGACUCAAAUGUGGCAUUACUAUGGAAUAAAAUUGCUAUCAAUUCAUUGGGAAAAAUAUGGACUUUUUAAUUAGUGCGACUGGAACAAAUUGUUAAGACAUCUGGAAAAAGAUAAAUUGAGAUUAUUAUUCCAUAUUAAACAAAAUAAUAAACCCAAAUGGAUAAAGAAUGUAAAAAACAAUAACAAAUAAGCAAAAACAGAAAUCAUAUUAAAGUAAAGCAUGGGUACAUAUAUUACUCUGAGCAUAGGAAUAACACUCCAUUUCUCAAAAUACAGAUAUAAUAAAAGAAUAUUAAUAGUUUGACAACAUUAAAAGAUUUCUUAUGGGUAAAAAAUUCAUUCUGAUCCAAAAGCAAAGUCACAAGACAACUGUCAAACUGGGGGAAAUAUUUACAACAUUCAUCACAGGUAAAAGACUAAUAACCAUAUUAUAUACGGGUAUUUUUAAACCUAAGAAUUUAAAAGACCAAACUUCCAAUAGAAAACGGGGCAACAGAGAACAUAAAAAAAAAAACUACAAUGAAAACAAAAUUUAAAAAGACAUAAACAUAUUAAAUAAUGUUUACUCUCAUAAGUAAAUUUAAUUAAAGCAAUGGAUCUGACAUUAUUCACAGUAUUCAUAUACAUAUUCAUGACAUACCAUUUUUAUUUUUUUUUCAUGUUUAUGCACUGCUAGGUAUCCAUCUCAGGUUAUCUAGCAUCUAUGCUAGGAAAGUGCACUACACUGAGCCACAUCCCUGCCCCAUUUCUAAUUUUUGAAUUAGCAACAUUUUGAAAUUAUAAAUAGACGCAUGAGGAGGCAAUGAGGAAACAAGUAUCCCCACACACUGAUAAAUAGCUAUUAUUAAUUGAGUAUUUAUUAUGUGGUAGUGCUUUACAUACUCAAUUUCAUUUAGAAUUUACCAUAACUAGUAGGGUUUCUUAUCAUCUUCUGGUUUAGAUAUUUAGAAACCAAAGCUUAGAAUAUUUAAAUUACUAUCCCAAGGUCACACAGGUGGUAUUUGAGUGAGAAUAACCUGAAUGACUCUGUAGUCCAAAUUCNUCAUAAUUCAGCCUUUUUAUUAUGCUUAAACUAUGGUAGCUAUUACUAAUUUACUGAGGAGAAAAAAAUAAUGUUAUAUCUUAUAUAAUUUAGUAGGAGCUCAAGUGACUAUGGCUUUCUUCAUUCAGUUCUCUUCUACCCUUAUACAUGCAGAGAACCCACAGAAUCAAGUGCCAUGGAAAAGCAAAGACUGUGCUCCUAGAGAAGUUAGGGAGAAAAGGUUGAUUUGUAUUUCAUGUCAGUAUUUUAACAUUUUUGUUUGAUUUGUGUUACCAUGUAAACCUUCAUGUCAUCAGAUAUUUCAAAAUGCUGAAACAAGAU
rnacentral:lncRNA from 1 species